rnacentral:rRNA from 1 species
GCUGGCGGUCAAAGCGGAAGGGAAACAUCCGUACCCAUCUCGAACACGGUAAUUAAGACUUCCUGCGAUUUAAGCUGU